rnacentral:rRNA from 1 species
AUACGUAGGUGGCAAGCGUUGUCCGGAUUUAUUGGGCGUAAAGCGCAUGUAGGCGGUGCCUUAAGUCUGUCGUGAAACUGCGGGGCCUAACCCCGUAUGGCGAUGGGAACUGUGGCACUUGAGUGUAGGAGAGGAAAGGGGAACACCCAGUGUAGCGGGGAAAUGCGUAGAUAUUGGGAAGAACACCGGUGGCGAAGGCGCCGUUCUGGACUGUGUCUGACGCUGAGAUGCUAAAGCCAGGGUAGCGAACGGGAUUAGAUACCCCGGUAGUCCUGGCCGUAAACGAUGGGUACUAGGUGUAGGGCCGAAAGGUUCUGUGCCGGAGUUAACACAGUAAGUAUUCCACCUGGGGAGUACGCCGGCAAAGGUGAAACUCAAAGGAAUUGACGGG